rnacentral:tRNA from 1 species
CAGGACGUGGGAAAGUCUGGCCAGUGUUUAUGGAAACGCGGCGCGUGGUCCGGAACCACGAGAUCGUCGGUUCAAAUCCGACCGUCCUGA